AACUGAUGAGUGUGUGUGUGUGUGUGUGUGUGUGUGUGUGUGUGUGUGUGCGCGUGCACGUGCAUGCCCAUGCGCACAUGCAC
rnacentral:miRNA from 1 species